rnacentral:tRNA from 4 species
CGACAUAGCUCAGUUGGUAGAGCUACUGAUUUGUAAUCAGUGGGUCGGGAGUUCGAGUCUCUCUGUCGGC